AUUUGGAAUACUUUAUUUUGAGAGCCAUGAUAACAUGAUUAGUUGCGGUUUUUGUCCAAAGGUAAUUUUACACACACCUCAAAUGGGAAAAUAAUUUUGCCUAUGCAUCUGAUUUAGGUUUAGGUAUGCACUUGGCUACCGUGUGUUUGGCAGCUGAAUUUAGCAGCUGCUGUUGUUGUUGGUAGGGAUAAAGUUCAAAUAGUGUG